GGGAUGGGGUGACUAGUGACAGAGUGAGGAAGGGGGUGACUAGGGACAGAGGGGGUGACUAGUGACAGAGUGAGGGGGUGACUAGUGACAGUCACCCCUUCCCUCUCUCUGUCACUAGUCACUCCCUCCCUCUGUCACUAGUCACUCCCUCCCUCUGUCACCAGUCACUCCCUCCCUCUGUCACCAGUCACCUCUUCCCUCCCUCACUUUGCCACUAGUCAUCUCUUCCCUCCC